rnacentral:rRNA from 1 species
UACGAAGGGGGCGAGCGUUGUUCGGAUUUACUGGGCGUAAAGGGCGCGUAGGCGGCGGGUCAAGUCGAGUGUGAAAGCCCCGGGCUCAACCUGGGAAUUGCGCUCGAGACUGGGCUGCUUGAGUUCGGGAGAGGAGCGUGGAAUUCCCAGUGUAGAGGUGAAAUUCGUAGAUAUUGGGAAGAACACCGGUGGCGAAGGCG